GUCCCCGUGGCGCAAUUGGAUAGCGCGCCGGCCUCCGGAGCCGGAAGUUGCAGGUUCGAAUCCUGCCGGGGAUA
rnacentral:tRNA from 1 species